GCCCCGAUAGCUCAGUUAGCAGAGCAGCAGCCUCGUAAGCUGCAGGUCAGGGGUGCAACUCCCUUUCGGGGCU
rnacentral:tRNA from 2 species